rnacentral:piRNA from 1 species
GCCUAAAUAUUUCCUGCCUU